rnacentral:rRNA from 1 species
CCCCUUCGGGGGACAAAGUGACAGGUGGUGCAUGGUUGUCGUCAGCUCGUGUCGUGAGAUGUUGGGUUAAGUCCCGCAACGAGCGCAACCCUUAAGCUUAGUUGCCAUCAUUAAGUUGGGCACUCUAAGUUGACUGCCGGUGACAAACCGGAGGAAGGUGGGGAUGACGUCAAAUCAUCAUGCCCCUUAUGAUUUGGGCUACACACGUGCUACAAUGGACAAUACAAAGGGCAGCGAAACCGUGAGGUCAAGCAAAUCCCAUAAAGUUGUUCUCAGUUCGGAUUGUAGUCUGCAACUCGACUACAUGAAGCUGGAAUCGCUAGUAAUCGUAGAUCAGCAUGCUACGGUGAAUACGUUCCCGGGUCUUGUACACAC